GUUUCAGCCGCCGCGGUAAUACGGAGGGUGCAAGCGUUAUCCGGAUUCACUGGGUUUAAAGGGUGUGUAGGCGGGCUGUUAAGUCAGUGGUGAAAUCUCCGGGCUCAACCCGGAAACUGCCAUUGAUACUAUCAGUCUUGAAUAUCGAUGAGGUGGGCAGAAUAUGUCAUGUAGCGGUGAAAUGCAUAGAUAUGACAUAGAAUACCGAUUGCGAAGGCAGCUCACUAACCGAUCAUUGACGCUGAGGCACGAAAGCGUGGGGAUCAAACAGGAUUAGAAACCCCCGUAGUCC
rnacentral:rRNA from 1 species